AUUGAACGCUGGCGGCAGGCCUAACACAUGCAAGUCGAACGAGUGGCGGACGGGUGAGUAAUGUCUGGGAAACUGCCUGACGGAGGGGGAUAACUACUGGAAACGGUAGCUAAUACCGCAUACCAUCGGAUGUGCCCAGAUGGGAUUAGCUAGGAGGUGGGGGAAAGGCUAACCUAGGCGACGAUCCCUAGCUGGUCUGAGAGGAUGACAAGAAAAACGGGAACUGAGACACGGUCCAGACUCAUACGGGAGGAAGCAGUGGGGAAUAUUGCACAAUGGGCGAAAGCCGGAUGCAGCCAUGCCGCGUGUAUGAAGAAGGCCUUCGGGUGGUAAAGUACUUUCAGCGGGGAGGCGUUACCCGCAGAUGAAGCACCGGCUAACUCCUUGCCAGCAGUCGCGGUAAUAC
rnacentral:rRNA from 1 species